GUUGGGCCACCUGAGUAAAGAAGCCACUACUAAUCUCUCAUAGGCUGCUAGAUUCAGCCCCUAAAUAAUUUAAUUUCUAAAAAAUACUAAAUCUAUUUGAAAAUUUCUUAAACUCCUACCCCACUACGUAUACAUAGAUUGUUGCUCAUGAAAAAAUUAGAUUGUAAAAGACAUUUUUAGGUUGUUUCGUAUGGUGCCUUAUCUGUUUAUUUGAUAAUAGAAAAAGUGUUAGUAAUAUUGUUCAUAAAUUGACAUAUCUCUCAUAGAGUUUGUAUGUACGAGAGAUAUGUCAAUUUGUAAAUAUCUGUACUACCACU
rnacentral:lncRNA from 1 species